rnacentral:lncRNA from 8 species
CAAAAGGAAGGGGAAUACUUAGUGCUCUUCACCUGUGUCACUGCCUAUAGAAGGCAUGGCGCUUUUAUAGUGUAUGGGUAGGGAAGGUUGGCAAUGGGUGUGGUGGGGUAUCAGUAGCCUAUAUAUCUACCCCCUAGUGAUCAUCCUGUCACAUUAUAAACCGUCAAGGAUCCUCUUUGCCCUUUUCCAGCUACGACAUGGUGCAGACCCAGAGGACACCAUCCUCAAUGCCUUCAAAGUCUUUGAUCCUGAGGGGAAGGAGACCUUGAAGAAGGACUUAUGGAGCAGAUGUUCACCACCUUCCCUCCAGAUGUGGCUGGACACCUGGACUUCAAGAAUCUGGUCUACAUCAUCACACAUGGGGAAGAGAAGGACCAUGAAUAAAUCCACCUCUUGCUAACUGUCCUUGCAUCUCUUCUGUUACACGUCGCCCCGCUGCGCAUCAAAGCUAUCUGGAAAUGUUUGAGAUGUGCAUGAUCAUCUUGUAAACAAAGGAUUUUCAGGUUAAUCGCAUAGAAUCCAUUUUCAUACAGGAUAUAGAUCCAACUGUAACUAAGUCUGAUCUGUCCAUUUGGGAAAGCUAUCAGAUGAUUUGAACUGUACCAGCCCCAGCUGGUACACAUUCUAAAAUCAUCUAGAGAGUCUAGGUUCACAGCCCCAGCUGGUACACAUUCUAAAAUCAUCUAGAGAGUCUAGGUUCACAGCCCCAGCUGAUA